rnacentral:rRNA from 1 species
GACGAACGCUGGCGGCAUGCCUUAUACAUGCAAGUCGAGCGAACAGAUGAAGUGCUUGCACUUCUGACGUUAGCGGCGAACGGGUGAGUAACACGUAAGGAAUCUACCUAUAAGCGGGGGAUAACAUUCGGAAACGGGUGCUAAUACCGCAUAAUAUCUUCUUCCGCAUGGAAGAAGAUUGAAAGACGGCUCUGCUGUCACUUAUAGAUGACCUUGCGGUGCAUUAGUUAGUUGGUGGGGUAACGGCCUACCAAGACGAUGAUGCAUAGCCGACCUGAGAGGGUGAUCGGCCACAUUGGGACUGAGACACGGCCCAAACUCCUACGGGAGGCAGCAGUAGGGAAUCUUCCGCAAUGGGCGAAAGCCUGACGGAGCGAUGCCGCGUGAGUGAAGAAGGCCUUCGGGUCGUAAAACUCUGUUAUAAGAGAAGAACAAAUUGUAGAGUAACUGCUACAGUCUUGACGGUAUCUUAUCAGAAAGCCACGGCUAACUACGUGCCAGCCGCCGCAGUAA